rnacentral:rRNA from 1 species
CUUAACACAUGCAAGUCGAACGAUGAACCACUUCGGUGGGGAUUAGUGGCGAACGGGUGAGUAACACGUGGGUAAUCUGCCCUUCACUCUGGGACAAGCCCUGGAAACGGGGUCUAAUACCGGAUAUCACUUGCGCAGGCAUCUGUGCGGGUUGAAAGCUCCGGCGGUGAAGGAUGAGCCCGCGGCCUAUCAGCUUGUUGGUGAGGUAACGGCUCACCAAGGCGACGACGGGUAGCCGGCCUGAGAGGGCGACCGGCCACACUGGGACUGAGACACGGCCCAGACUCCUACGGGAGGCAGCAGUGGGGAAUAUUGCACAAUGGGCGCAAGCCUGAUGCAGCGACGCCGCGUGAGGGAUGACGGCCUUCGGGUUGUAAACCUCUUUCAGCAGGGAAGAAGCGCAAGUGACGGUACCUGCAGAAGAAGCGCCGGCUAACUACGUGCCAGCAGCCGCGGUAAUACGUAGGGCGCAAGCGUUGUCCGGAAUUAUUGGGCGUAAAGAGCUCGUAGGCGGCUUGUCACGUCGGGUGUGAAAGCCCGGGGCUUAACCCCGGGUCUGCAUUCGAUACGGGCAGGCUAGAGUGUGGUAGGGGAGAUCGGAAUUCCUGGUGUAGCGGUGAAAUGCCCAGAUAUCAGGAGGAACACCGGUGGCGAAGGCGGAUCUCUGGGCCAUUACU